CUACGGGGGCUGCAGUGGGGAAUAUUGGACAAUGGGCGAAAGCCUGAUCCAGCCAUGCCGCGUGUGUGAAGAAGGCCUUCGGGUUGUAAAACACUUUCAGUGGGGAAGAAAGCCUUGGGGCUAAUACCCUCGAGGAAGGACAUCACCCACAGAAGAAGCACCGGCUAACUCCGUGCCAGCAGCCGCGGUAAUACGGAGGGUGCGAGCGUUAAUCGGAAUUACUGGGCGUAAAGCGCGCGUAGGCGGUCUGAUAAGCCGGUUGUGAAAGCCCCGGGCUCAACCUGGGAACGGCAUCCGGAACUGUCAGGCUAGAGUGCAGGAGAGGAAGGUAGAAUUCCCGGUGUAGCGGUGAAAUGCGUAGAGAUCGGGAGGAAUACCAGUGGCGAAGGCGGCCUUCUGGACUGACACUGACGCUGAGGUGCGAAAGCGUGGGUAGCAAACAGGAUUAGAUACCCGUGUAGUC
rnacentral:rRNA from 1 species